UACGAAGGGGGCUAGCGUUGUUCGGAAUUACUGGGCGUAAAGCGCACGUAGGCGGAUUGCUAAGUCAGGGGGUGAAAUCCUGGAGCUCAACUCCAGAACUGCCUUUGAUGCUGGCGAUCUCGAGUCCGGGAGAGGUGAGUGGAACUGCGAGUGUAGAGGUGAAAUUCGUAGAUAUUCGCAAGAACACCAGUGGCGAAGGCGGCUCACUGGCCCGGUACUGACGCUGAGGUGCGAAAGCUAGGGUAGCAAACGGGG
rnacentral:rRNA from 1 species